AGACCCGAAACCCGGUGAUCUAGCCAUGGGCAGGUUGAAGGUUGGGUAACACUAACUGGAGGACCGAACCGACUAAUGUUGAAAAAUUAGCGGAUGACCUGUGGCUGGGGGUGAAAGGCCAAUCAAACCGGGAGAUAGCUGGUUCUCCCCGAAAGCUAUUUAGGUAGCGCCUCGUGAAUUCAUCUCCGGGGGUAGAGCACUGUUUCGGCUAGGGGGCCAUCCCGGCUUACCAACCCGAUGCAAACUGCGAAUACCGGAGAAUGUUAUCACGGGAGACACACGGCGGGUGCUAACGUCCGUCGUGAAGAGGGAAACAACCCAGACCGCCAGCUAAGGUCCCAAAGUCAUGGUUAAGUGGGAAACGAUGUGGGAAGGCCCAGACAGCCAGGAUGUUGGCUUAGAAGCAGCCAUCAUUUAAAGAAAGCGUAAUAGCUCACUGGUCGAGUCGGCCUGCGCGGAAGAUGUAACGGGGCUAAACCAUGCACCGAAGCUGCGGCAGCGAACGUAUCACCCAAGACAACUUUACGGAGUUGACGAUUGACGGAGCGAAGCGACGUCAAAGCGUUCAUUAAAGUCGAGUUGGCUUAGGGAUACGUUCGUUGGGUAGGGGAGCGUUCUGUAAGCCUGUGAAGGUGUGUCGUGAGGCAUGCUGGAGGUAUCAGAAGUGCGAAUGCUGACAUAAGUAACGAUAAAGCGGGUGAAAAGCCCGCUCGCCGGAAGACCAAGGGUUCCUGUCCAACGUUAAUCGGGGCAGGGUGAGUCGACCCCUAAGGCGAGGCCGAAAGGCGUAGUCGAUGGGAAACGGGUUAAUAUUCCCGUACUUGGUGUUACUGCGAAGGGGGGACGGAGAAGGCUAUGUUGGCCGGGCGACGGUUGUCCCGGUUUAAGCGUGUAGGUGUGUGUUCCAGGUAAAUCCGGUUCACUUUAACACUGAGGCGUGACGACGAGGCACUACGGUGCUGAAGCAACAAAUGCCCUGCUUCCAGGAAAAGCCUCUAAGCAUCAGGUAACACGAAAUCGUACCCCAAACCGACACAGGUGGUCAGGUAGAGAAUACCAAGGCGCUUGAGAGAACUCGGGUGAAGGAACUAGGCAAAAUGGUGCCGUAACUUCGGGAGAAGGCACGCUGACACGUAGGUGAAGUGAUUUACUCAUGGAGCUGAAGUCAGUCGAAGAUACCAGCUGGCUGCAACUGUUUAUUAAAAACACAGCACUGUGCAAACACGAAAGUGGACGUAUACGGUGUGACGCCUGCCCGGUGCCGGAAGGUUAAUUGAUGGGGUCAGCGUAAGCGAAGCUCCUGAUCGAAGCCCCGGUAAACGGCGGCCGUAACUAUAACGGUCCUAAGGUAGCGAAAUUCCUUGUCGGGUAAGUUCCGACCUGCACGAAUGGCGUAAUGAUGGCCAGGCUGUCUCCACCCGAGACUCAGUGAAAUUGAACUCGCUGUGAAGAUGCAGUGUACCCGCGGCAAGACGGAAAGACCCCGUGAACCUUUACUAUAGCUUGACACUGAACAUUGAGCCUUGAUGUGUAGGAUAGGUGGGAGGCUUUGAAGUGUGGACGCCAGUCUGCAUGGAGCCGACCUUGAAAUACCACCCUUUAAUGUUUGAUGUUCUAACGUGGACCCGUAAUCCGGGUUGCGGACAGUGUCUGGUGGGUAGUUUGACUGGGGCGGUCUCCUCCUAAAGAGUAACGGAGGAGCACGAAGGUUGGCUAAUCCUGGUCGGACAUCAGGAGGUUAGUGCAAUGGCAUAAGCCAGCUUGACUGCGAGCGUGACGGCGCGAGCAGGUGCGAAAGCAGGUCAUAGUGAUCCGGUGGUUCUGAAUGGAAGGGCCAUCGCUCAACGGAUAAAAGGUACUCCGGGGAUAACAGGCUGAUACCGCCCAAGAGUUCAUAUCGACGGCGGUGUUUGGCACCUCGAUGUCGGCUCAUCACAUCCUGGGGCUGAAGUAGGUCCCAAGGGUAUGGCUGUUCGCCAUUUAAAGUGGUACGCGAGCUGGGUUUAGAACGUCGUGAGACAGUUCGGUCCCUAUCUGCCGUGGGCGCUGGAGAACUGAGGGGGGCUGCUCCUAGUACGAGAGGACCG
rnacentral:rRNA from 1 species